AAUGUGUGUUACGCCCUGGCAAUUGCUGGAACGAUAUUUGUAUUCCUUCAACUUAACUUGUAUCUCAUCAAGAGAGAGUCUGCAGGAUAUUCUGCUUAUCGUCGCAUUAACCGAAGAGAAGUUAUUUCUGAAGGUUAUGAGGUCGAUUUGUUGAACGUCAAUGAUGAAUUAUUAAUCGAGACGACAAACACAAUUGCAUCUUAUUCAAAGCCAAUGAUACCGACCGAAGAAGUAGUAGCUGUGAUCGUUUUGUGUGAAGGGACUCCUGAUAACUUGACGAGCUCCCUCACGGACAUCAGUCGUCAGUUUUUUCAGGUCAACGCAGCCAUGAAAUCAUUCAUUUAUUUAUCAAACCAACCAGUGAAAUUCAUAAUUGUGAGCGAUUCCCGAAAUGUAUUCGAGAAGAUCGAAGCUUUGAGUGAGUCUUGGCCACGUGAACAGCAAUCGAAGUUAACA